CAGGAUUAGAUACCCUGGUAGUCCACGCUGUAAACGAUGAGUGCUGAAUGUGGGGGCGUUUUGUCUCUGUGUUGUAGCUAACGCGUUAAGCACUCCGCCUGGGGACUACGGUCGCAAGACUAAAACUCAAAGGAAUUGACGGGGACCCGCACAAGCGGUGGAGCAUGUGGUUUAAUUCGAUGCAACGCGAAAAACCUUACCACUUCUUGACAUGGAGAUUAAAUCCUUCUUAACAGAAGGGCGCAGUUCGGCUGGAUCUCGCACAGGUGCUGCAUGGCUGUCGUCAGCUCGUGUCGUGAGAUGUUGGGUUAAGUCCCGCAACGAGCGUAACCCUCAUCCUUAUUUGCCAGCGGGUUAAGCCGGGCACUUUAAGGAAACUGCCAGUGGUAAACUGGAGGAAGGUGGGGAUGAUGUCAAGUCAGCACGGCCCUUAUGGGGUGGGCUACACACGUGCUACAAUGGUGACUACAAUAGGUUGCAAUGUCGCAAGGCUGAGCUAAUCCGUAAAAGUCAUCUCAGUUCGGAUUGUCCUCUGCAACUCGAGGGCAUGAAGUCGGAAUCGCUAGUAAUCGUGGAUCAGCAUGCCACGGUGAAUACGUUCUCGGGUCUUGUACACACUGCCCGUCACGCCAUGGGAAUUGGCUUAACUC
rnacentral:rRNA from 1 species